ACAUUUUGUGCAAGUUCAUCACACUAUACUUUUAUGAUUUGUGUUCCUUGCUAUAUGAAUAUUAUACCACCACAAAGUUUUGGGGGUUGUUUGUGUACCCUAGUUAAUGACAGAUAAUUGUCCUUUUGUUGAGUGAGAAUCUGGAUCAUUCUCACAGCUAGACUGGUUUCAGGAGCAAGUCAUCUGUCCAGUAAGUGAGCUUAUUGAGCAACAUCCACUCUACAGCACCCAUUUAUCACAUGCUAUUUGCCUUUGAUAUAUAGAGUCUAAUUCUUCUGAAAUGGUGAGAAUACUGUCUUCUAUUCCAAAAUAGUCUCAGAAUGAAAUUCAACUCCUACUGUUAGUGACAGAAGUAAACAGAAAUUGAAGAGGUCAAAGAAAGUAAUAUGAAAGUCUCUGAGUAUAUUAUAGGAAAAAUGUCAAGGAUAUACACCAGUGCUGAAAAUAUUUUUCUACAUGUCAAAGCAUUCACAAGGCCCAGCUGCUUAUAGUCUCAGUUCAAUUAAUGCUUUAUAGUAUGCACUUAAAAAAAAAAGGUUGGGAAGGUGUUCUGAUUUCAAAAGCUGUGAAAGCAAAUGAAUUAUUUUCCUUUAACCAAGACAGGGAUUGUUUAACACCAUCAGGAAAUAAUAUGCUCACUAAUACUCUUAUGUAUAUCCAAAAAUAUCUAGUAUUGUUUCAGAACUAAAACAGAAAAGUUACUUCAUGAUUCAUGUAAUUUAUAUGCAGAAAAAGAGAAAGGAUGUGCUCAAAAAUGCUAUUAAGUUUGGACUUGAGUAAUAAUAUACAAAUUUUAUCCUGGACAUGGAAAAAAUGAUACAUCAGCAUGAAUUCUAUAUGUCUUAGUGUAUGUGACCUAAAAAAUGUAUUAACUUGAUAAUACUGCAUGGAUUAAUAUCCUCCUAAAAACAGGAAAAUUUUACUAAAUUUUACUAGUACAUCUUCUAAUAACAGAACCACAGGACAGAUUUAUUUUAAUAGCUUACAAUCUCCUUUAUAUCCACAAGAGGGAGCAAACAUUUAACACAUAUUUAUGGGGACUUCAUUAAAUACUAAUUUUUACACAAGGCUUUUUUAAGUAACAAUAAUUGGAAAAAA